CAGCACCCGCGGUAAUUCCAGCUCCAAGAGCAUAUAUUAAUGUUGUUGCGGUUAAAAAGCUCGUAGUUGGAUUCAGGGAUCUGGGCGACGGUCUGGUCCGAGGUGUGCACAACUCGUGUCACCGCGAGUGCCUGCCGGUUUGUCCCGGGUUCUUACUUUCUUGCGGAAGCGAAUGCCGGCCGAGUGCCACUUCACUGUGGUGCGAAGCGAACUACGGAGUUUCUACGCUCCUUAAGGCACGUCCGCAGAAGUUACUGUGAGUAAAGCAGAGUGCUCAAAGCACCCAACUCGCUUGGGAGAAUGUUAAAGCAUAGAAUAACAAGGGAUCGACCACGUUGUGGAGUCUUAUUGUUGGUUUUCAAGCCGCCGUGCGACAAUUUAGAGCAGGUGUCUUGUGUGGAUGGCGCAGUCCGCAAGGACUCGCUCGCUGCAUCUAAGCCCUGCUCAUUGGGAUCAAUAGGAGCGCGGGGAGCGAUCAGUACUCCCGGGUGAGAGGUGAAUU
rnacentral:rRNA from 1 species